rnacentral:snRNA from 1 species
AUACUUCAACAGCACAUAUACUGAUAUUGGAAUGAUAAGAGAGAAAGUUAGCACAGCUCCUGUGCAAGAAUGACACAUAAAGUUGUGAGGUGUUCCAUGUUUUU